CCAGCCCCAUGACCUAGGGUUAAGUUUGGUGUACUCUGCUUUAGCAGCCAAGGUUCAGUUCCCAUGCGUGGACUUACACCACUCAUUGCCGGACAUGCUGUGGUGGUGACUCACAUACAAAAUAGAAGACUGACAUAGAUGUUAGCUCGGGGUGAAUCUUCCUCAAGGAAAAAGAGGAAGAUUGGCAAUAGUUCUUAUCUCAGAGCCAAUCUUCCUCAGCAAAAAGGAAAGAAAGAGAGGAAGAAGGGAAAGAAUGGAAGAAAGAAGGAAAGACAAGAAGGAAAGAGGGAAGGAAGGAAGCAAGGAAGGAAGGAAGGAGGGAAGAAAGAGAAAGAAAGAGAGAAAGUUAGAAAGAAAGAAAGAAAGAAAGAAAGAAAGAAAGAAAGAAAGAAAAAUAUUUACUCCUCAAUAAAUGUCACACCAUCUACCCACUUACUUAAGCCCUAAACCAGGAAGUCAUCCUUGAUUCUUCUUUUCCUUCCCUCUGACAUCCAGUCCAUCAGCAGUCCAUAUCAGCUCUACCUCCCAAUCUUUCUUGAGUCUCUCCACUUCUCCCCAUCCUCUGCCACCAUCCUUCUCUCACUGAACCUAUUGCAAGAACCCCUCAAGUGGAAUCCCUUUUACUACUCUUUCCCUCCUAUCAACCAUUCUCCAGACCGGAUCUACUCUAAAGUGGUCGUUAAGAAUGUAAAUCACGUGAUAUCACUUUGCUAAGAACCAUCUGGCAGCUUCCUGUUGCACUCAGACUAUGUCCAAUCUCCCUACCGUCCCUGCGAAGCCUUCCCUGCUCCGUCUCCUGUCUUCAGAUCUCUGCUUCGCUCCUUCCGCCCCAGCCGCAGCGCUCCUUCUGUCCCACAUGCGGGCCAAGAUCAUUUCUGCACUGGGAACUUGGCUCAUGCUCUUUCCUCUGCCUGGAAUAAUUCAUUCUGUCCGGUUGUCAUUUAGGACUCACCUUAAUUGUCAUCCACUCAUAGGGGACUUUGUUGAUGAACGACCCACACCCCCAGAUCUCCACGAAACCACCACUAUUCUAUUACAUUAUCCUAAGUGUCAGUCAGGGUUCUUGCUUACAAGCAAGAGAAACCAGCUGACUAAUCGAAUAUGUAUAUGUUAGAGCGUAGCAGGUGACCCCCAGAGCUUUGAGGGGUCCAGACGGCCAGGCUUUGAGACCACUCAUCCAGGAGCCACACCCUGAGUCACACCACCAGAGCUCGUCCAGCAGAAGCUGGUCUGUUAAUCCUGGCCAAGACAUCACAGCUCAAACCACAGUACCACUGACCCUGGACACUUUCUCUGCCUCAGAACUGCUGCCACCACUGCCUCAGGCAACUACAGGGAGUUGUUAGUGACCCAAUCAAGAGAAAUUUCAGAGGAGUGAUGGGCC
rnacentral:lncRNA from 1 species